UUGCUCUUCAACGAGGAAUGCCUAGUAAGCGCAUGACAUCAGCAUGCGUUGAUUACGUCCCUGCCCUUUGUACACACCGCCCGUCGCUACUACCGAUUGAAUGGCUCAGUGAGGCCUUCGGACUGGCUCAGGGAGGUCGGCAACGACCACCCAGAGCCGGAAAGUUCGUCAAACUGAGUCAUUUAGAGGAAGUAAAAGUCGUAACAAGGUUUCCGUAGGUGAACCUGCGGAAGGAUCAUUAAUGAGUAAGGGUCUCACGGCCCGACCUCCAACCCUUUGUUGUUAAAACACCCUUGUUGCUUUGGCGUGGACCGCCGCUGUAAAAAGCGGCUGCCGGUCUUAGGCCCGGCAUGCGCCCGCCAGAGGUAAUACAAACUCUUGUCUUUAACCAGUCGUCUGAGUUAUAAUUUAAAUAAAUUAAAACUUUCAACAACGGAUCUCUUGGUUCUGGCAUCGAUGAAGAACGCAGCGAAAUGCGAUAAGUAAUGUGAAUUGCAGAAUCCAGUGAAUCAUCGAAUCUUUGAACGCACAUUGCGCCCCUUGGUAUUCCGAGGGGCAUGCCUGUUCGAGCGUCAUUACACCACUCAAGCUCUGCUUGGUAUUAGGCGUCCGUCUGUCUGAAAAGGCAGGCGCGCCCCAAAACCUUCGGCGAAGUCUUACCGACUUUGGGCGCAGUAGAAUUUCUAACAACGCUCUUUGGGUCGGUACGGUCUUUUGCCGCUAAAUUGAAUUUAUUCAUUUUUCUUAGGUUGACCUCGGAUCAGGUAGGGAUACCCGCUGAACUUAGGCAUAUCAAUAAGCGGAGGA
rnacentral:rRNA from 1 species